rfam:Novosphingobium sp. ST904 contig_7, whole genome shotgun sequence.
CCGGGGAGCCGGGCAGCCGCGGGCGUCUUCUUGACGCGCGAGGAAAGUCCGGGCUCCACGAAACAAGGGUGGCGGGUAAUGCCCGCCGGGCGAGUCGGGUUUUCAGGCCCGGCGAAGCUUAGGGAAAGUGCCACAGAGAGCAGACCGCCUCGCCUCGCAGGGUUCGCCCCUGAAUGGCAGGUAAGGGUGAAAGGGUGCGGUAAGAGCGCACCGCGCUUCCGGUAACGGAAAGCGGCAUGGCAAACCCCACUCGGAGCAAGACCGAAUAGGGGCUGCGCGCUGUCCGCGCUACGAAAGUAGAGCGGCGGCGGGUCUGUUUCGGACCCAGGCAGCCCGGGUUGGUCGCUUGAGCGGCGCAGCAAUGCGUCGCCUAGAGGAAUGGCUGCCGCCGCGGCGUAAGGUCCCUCCUUGGGGAGACCACGCCAGGAACAGAACCCGGCUUACAGGCUCCCCGGUGCG